AUAUAUCUAGUAUAGACUGAACAGGCUGUGGGAAGGUGAUAUAUCUAGUAUAGACUGAACAGGCUGUAUCCCACUCUGGGACUAUAGUGUAAUAAUUGUACUGUGAAAUAUUGUCCAUAACCAUAUUGUAUUUUUAGCUGUUUGAAGCUGGUGUACAAAAGUAAAAGACACAAAAAUCAAAUUCAAGACCGGGUAGCAUAGAAAAUAACAGAUCUAUAACUUAUAAUUCUAUGUGUAUUUGGUCAGGUCGCCGAAAAAGUUACAUAUUGCAGCUUAAAGCACUCAAUGGAUGACGUAGUGCA